GUCAUUUUAAAGUCUUUACUCUAUUUUCAUUACACGACAAUAAACAAAGAGGGGCAGCUGUAAUAGGCCCAAUUUGUCCGGGCUUAUAAUAAAUCAGAAAACCAAAAAAAUAUAUAUAUGUAAAUUAAAGUGCUUAUGGGGUCAAUGUCCAUUUACAAAAUUCUGGGCCUAAAUUUACAAAUUACCUAUGGCCCAACAAUUACACCCAAAAUCCUAACCUAAUAAACCCACAUCCCCAACCCGGUUUACAAAUAGCCCAAACCCGAGGCCCAACAAGACCCAAAAAGAAGCUCAGCAACCGAAUAGUGCCAGAAGCUUCUGGAAUACAGUGGAAUGACAUUAGAGAGUGGGCUUCUUACCCCUGCGUGCAGCCUCAUGUCAUCGGGUCAUCUUCUCCGUACAACCGAGCCUGCAAAAGAAUACACCAGAAGGAGCCAAUAAUAGAAUUCACAGCAAAUGACAGUAGGAAAAUAGGAUUUUAAAAUUUUUUAUUUAUUUUGUAAAUCUGGCUAUAAAAAUCCAUGGAUGUAAUCCUUUAAUUUUUACGCACACUUUACGCAUACACAUACACUAUACACAUACUGAAUAUAAAAAAUUUCGAAAAGAAUUUCUAAGAAAGGUGAUCUUCUUUAGUCUUUUUAAUUUUUUCUGUUAUUUUUAUCUAUUUUUCCUGCGAUUAUUUUCAUCAUUCUGCAUUUUAAAACAAAGAGGAAGGAAAGUCAGGUCUUACCUUGCGAAUCGGCCAUUGACCUCUGUUCACUUUGUUGAGAUCGAAGUUGGAAGGGGGAUCCAAAGGUGUUAUCCAUCAAUCUUUGAAACGAAACCAAUGAAAUCCCGAAUAUCUCUGAAAUAUUGAGAUACAGGCGAGGGUCGAUGGUAUUAAAUGUGUUUGUUUUCAACUUUGUCUUCAUUUUUCUUGAACGAAUGAUAUUGGAUCUAAAGUUUUUUUUUUAAAAAAAAAAGAAAACAAAAUGUUUUACCAGAUUUCCUCGAGUAGAGCCUUCGACGACGAGAUCUGGUCGCUGCUCGUGCGUUAUCGGCCACCAAAUGAAAUGGUGGUUCGAUGGCUGCUGGAAUGAGCCCUAACAAAUUGAUUUUAGGGCUGUGUAUCUUGGUUAGAAUAAUGGCUGUGUUUGAAGAAGAAAAUAGGGGAAGAAAGGUUUUAAAUAACCAAUUAAUAAAACGGUGCCGUUUAAGGAAGGGAGGUCCGCGCGUAAACCAGCUUGGAGACCCAGAUUUGCACCUUUGCGCCUAAAAUGGAUUAUUUGUGCAGCAGGUCCUUUCCCUUUGCGCCGCGUUAUGAUCAGCUCCCAUUUGUGUCUGAUUUAUUUUGUUUUCUUUAAAAUUUUCCCGAAAUUUGAGCACUUUUGCAUUUUAGCCCGCAUCUCAACACAGUGUUUUGGGAUUGGGGAUAUUAUCAGAUUUGGUCCCCCUGUGAAUUCAUGCGUGUUGUGCAAGGGUCCUCAUUUUAAUAUUAGUAGUUUGUUUUAUUUAUAAAUUAUCCC
rnacentral:lncRNA from 1 species